ACCAGCUACAUGUUGCCUAUUCGGGUGCCAUUCUUCUAAAGCAUGGAUAGAUGUAUAAUUCCUAAGUAUUGAAUCAAGUCACAUUUGGCCUUCACUGUCUCUAAAUGCAAGGAUUGUUAAAUCUUGACUAUGAACCUCUUGAUCCCGGGUAGCCUUGAAUGAACGUUUGCAGUCUAAGCUAGUACUCUGAGCGUUGGACGUGUCCACACCACAUUCUCCCCCAUGCCCGAGGAGGCAGCGCUCUACUGCAGUAGCAUUUUUCAAACUUUUUCUGUCAUAGAGCUUUUGUGUAAAUCAAAAUAAAUGGUUAAAGGCACACUAGGAGAACUCCAAUAUGCCUUUUGAUUUAAUUUAAAAAAAAAAAUGCCUGUAAUGGUUAUACAGCUAGUGUGCCCGUGAAUGGAUACGAGCUGAGUGUGCUCCCUCCUGGGGGAAUGAAAUACCUUAGUUGGUUGGAAAGUGUUUUUCUCCUUCUGCCUUUGUGCUGUGCGUUCAUCUUCUUCUUGAGAUGACCAGUCCAUACAAGCCUUAUCUUCACCAUUUUUAUUAGACAAUUCAAAGGACAGACACAAGCACACACAUGCUAGCCUGUGACUUACUUAUAUUACCCAGGACUACCUACCCAGGGAUGGCACUGCCCACUGUGUUUUAAAAUUGUCAUGAUGUUAUCCAUUUCUAUUUGGUCAUUCAACUCAAAGGAUGAGCUAAAACUUUGGGCCCACUGAGACAUGUUGACUGAUAACGUGACGAAAGCUAUCAUCUUUAGAGAUAGUUCUAAACCCAGGGCAGUGCGGUCUUUAUUGGUGAACUUGCACAGCACUAGUCCAGGACUACAGAAUUAAGGCAUGCGUUAUCUUACUUAGCAGCUGGUUUUGUUCUUCACAGGUGGCUUCGCCAUCAUCACAUCUCAUGCUGACCUCCCUAUGCCAAAUUUAUGGGCUUGCAUGUUUCCGGAAUUGUGAAAUGACCAAAAGAGCCAGACAUGUAUUCCCAGUAGAGAGGACAACCUGAGAACCUAAUGAACUGUCAUCAAAACUGUGAUGUUUUCUUGCCCCGUCCGUAGGGUCACCAUCUGUCCAAAGUCCUCUCAACUGAUUAGAGGCUCUGCUCAUCUGUGAUGUCAGUCUGUGGGAAAGAGGCUUGGUAAACAGGCUGGGUUUGAAAUGUACAGUAUGCACUGCUGUAUUUACACAGUAGCUCCAAGGAGGCAACUGCAGAUGCUUCGCAUGCCUGAGGCGGCAGCACCGGAGAUAAAACCGCCUGGAGUCAGGCAGUAAUUCAGACGUGGCUACAGGGGAGAGAUAAGGGAUCAUUAUCUGUGCCAGCCCUCUAGGACUGUGCAGCCUCCCACUGACUGACUGAAGCUACAAGGCUUAGGCAGGGAGUUUAGCGGCUUAUUCUUUAGUAGAGUUCAGCAUGCAGCUCUUCCGGCCCUGAGCUGGUGCUUGCAGAGCAGGACUUGGUGUUUAGCCCCUGUAUGGGGCAGGCAGCGUUGGUGUUUUGUUUUGUUGUUGUUGUUAUUCUACUUCUUUAACUUAGAAGACAAUGCAAAGUUCUUUUUAAAUCUGCUCUGGGUUGCUCGGUAGCACUUUUAUUAAUAGUUUAUCUUACCAAAUUUCAAAGAGACAUGUCUGAUUGGACUGCUUUUGAUGAGAAGGUGAAUUCCUUGGAAGCUCUAACUACCUGGUUCUCACUAGAUCCCCAACCUCAGCAGUGUUGACAUGGGGCCUGUGCGCCUUUGUUGUGAGGUGGUUCCGCAGUGGAGUGUUAAGUAGUACCUUGGCUGUCUAACCAUUGUUUGCUAAUAGCACUUCCUCCCAGUGUGAUAACAAAGCCAUCUCUAGGUGUGGCCUAGUGCUUCCCCAGGUAAGAGCCUCUUCAGAACAGCAGCAGACCUUAAACCAGCUGCUUCCUGGCUCGACACAGCAGUAAUAUUGUAUUACAGAAGUGCCUCAACACUCCUGGGAGAUUCGCAGACCCGUGACAUCCCGGUGAGAAAAACAAGUGGCUAUACAGGAAUGGCUCUGACGAAGGAUGCCUGGGAAAUGUCAUGAAAGGCAUUAAAAGGGGAUAGCAUUUCAGAAUGCCACAGGUGCACAACACAGUUAACUUCUGUGCCGACGUCCAGAAGAAUAACGGCAGAGCCCCCGGCAUUGGAUUUCCUGGGAUGCUGGGCCAUGUGACCUUGGGGAAGUAUUUCAUUUCCCUGGCCUCUGAGUGCUGGUCUGAGGAUUCACAGGCAACUGCUGACUUGGGAGACAUUUGUUUUCGUGCUGGCCUGUUUUUUGUCUGUUUUUUAAGGACAGAGGCUGUGUGAAUGUUAUAAACAAAACCUAUGGAAAAGGCAUACUGAAUAGAUUAAAAAACCCAUGCCACUA